GGACCACAGAUCAGUGGUAGAACAUCAGCCUUGCAUGCAAAAUGUCUCAGGUUCAAUCCCUGGCAUCUCCA